CGGAAGGUCCGGGCGUUAUCCGGAUUUAUUGGGUUUAAAGGGAGCGUAGGCCGGAGAUUAAGCGUGUUGUGAAAUGUAGACGCUCAACGUCUGCACUGCAGCGCGAACUGGUUUCCUUGAGUACGCACAAAGUGGGCGGAAUUCGUGGUGUAGCGGUGAAAUGCUUAGAUAUCACGAAGAACUCCGAUUGCGAAGGCAGCUCACUGGAGCGCAACUGACGCUGAAGCUCGAAAGUGCGGGUAUCGAACAGGAUU
rnacentral:rRNA from 1 species